AGUGAUAUUUUCAGGUUAGAUUCGGGUUUGUGAUUUGUUUUACUACUGAAAAAUAAAUUCUUAAAUUUUUAAACAUGUUGUCCUAAUAAUUGAUUACGAAUUUGUAUACAAAAAAUGAAAAAGAAAAGGAAUUGGAAUGGAGAACAAACUUAUACCUAAAUAGAGCCAUCGUUCAGGUGCAGCAGUUACUGUUCUAAGUUCUAGGACUUGUAGCAACAAUUUAGUAGGUAAUCUUCCAAAUAAAAAUGGUCUUAAGACACCAAAAAACUAGAAUGAACAAAUCAGAAGAGGAAGAAAUGACUCACAUCAUCAACAAGAAGAAAUUUCUCCUCUGAUACUCACACAGAACAUGUGUUCUAUUCUGGUGCGUUACUCUCUCUCUCCCUACUAUUUUCUGCUCUCAACCUCUCCUCUCAUUCACUUAUUUAACUCGAAUUUUGGGUUUGAAGAAGAUGAAGACAAAGUUGUGAAGAGAAGAAAGCCUUUAUCUAAAUUUACCCAACAUCUCAGCCAUCCAACGACAUGCACGACGUCCCAACCAUUGAUAUGUUGGAUGGCCAACCACAACUCGCAAAGAUGGCAAGUUUUCUUAACACCUAGUCGGUCAUCACAGCAGCUCACCAUGUGGUUCGAUCCUUGCCACAACUUGG
rnacentral:lncRNA from 1 species